UCUGGGCUGGCAAAUGCAUCCAGUGUCUCUUCUACACACUGCAUAAUUAAAACAACUCUGAAGUAUCAUUUCUCAGGUUGCCUGUAAAGAGCAUCAUCUUACUUUAUAAGCUUUACGCAAAUAAUAGGCAUUUGAAAGGGAAAACUGAUGACACAGAGCUGCCUUUUUUUUUUUUUUUUGGUGGGAUUUUUUUGUUGAUCAGCCAAAUCAACAAAACUAUUGACUGUUGUGUAGCUAUGUCAUGGACCUGGGUAAAUUAAAAUGAAGAGCUAGAGAAGACUAUAAUUGUUGAAAGGGCAACUGCUACAAAUAUCAGUACUUAUAAACAGCUGCCUCAUAUUUCUCAGUAACUUUCUAUAGAGAUAAAUGACAGUGAAAUACAUGGCUGUAAUAGUCAUUAUGGAAAAUAUUGCAUUUUAGCAGUGACAUUUUCUGCAUUGCAUAACACAAAGUAAUGUUUUGAUGCAAAAUACAAAGUAGGAUUCUGUGGAAUGACAGGACACAAAACUAAAUCUGCCACAGGCAUCUAUAGAAAGAUUGUUUCAACAUAAAAACUGGUAGUCUGAGAAAAUGUUCUCUGCUGGUUUUUUUGCAUCAAUAUUUUUUUUUACUCUGAUAUUUUCUCCAUCUUGUGUCUCCAUGAGGAGGAAAGAACACCCUGCGUAGGAAGACCUGCUACAUGGAGGCAGACUGAAUUGCUAUAUACCUCAAGCAGCAGACAAUUAUAGACGCUCACAGAAGUCAGUAAAUCACAUUCUGCUUAGAAAACCACUCUGGAGAUAUGACAAGUGGAUUGAAGUUGAGCUGGCACAGCUUCACUUCUGCUCAAACCAUCCCUAUGAAAACCAAACGUACACUAAAACAAAUGGUAAAUUCAGAAUGUCUUUUGUAAUGUGAAAUCCUGAUUAAAAGCAGACAAAACAUUGCAAAGUGUACACUGAUUAGAAACUGAGGAGAAAAGAGAUGCCCUCAGCUUGCCAUCUUUGUGAGCACAGGUCCGAGGCAGACAGCCAUAUCCUCAGAUGAGUAGUUCCUUAUAGUGUUCAUUGAGCUCAUAAAUUAGUUUCCUUUCUUAGGAAUAUUUGACUUUAAAGAACACAAAGAUCCCUGAUCACUCUUUACUGCAUUUGAAUCAAUCACUGUUGCAGUGCAAUAUUUAUAUUUGAAGCAAAAUGUUUAUGCAAAAAAGCUAGUGUUAAUCUGAAUGGCAUUUCAUUUGACAACACGUGCAAACCAAUACUGUAUAGGAAGAAGACUCCUACAGAACAGCAUAGCUAUGGAGAACAGAAAUAGGACAAAGCCAAGAUCAUAGAAUAAAUAUCAUUACUUCUGGUAUACUGAAAGAAGAUAUUUUCAUCACGUCACAUUAGUCUAAAGGCAACUAAAUCACUUUAACUGGUAGGACUUCUUAGUGAGAUAUUUUUCUACAGAGCCAGCUGGCACAGUUUUAAUGUCUCCUCUUCUCUAGCUCUUAAUGCUUCCCUGCAUAUUGGUGGUUGUUUCUUUUUUUGUUUUUGGGGAGGGGGGUGUUUGUCAUAUUCCUUUCUAUCUAUGACUUCAAAUUUUCAUAAUAAAUAAAAUUUAUGAUAAAAUAAAAUAACUGAUAAAAUUGUUUUUAUGGCGAGAUUCAUCAAACUAGAUAUAAAUUUGGAUAUAUGGAUGAGAAAUCCACAGGUGAGCUAUUCCUCCAUAUUCUUUUCUGAGUCAAUGGAGAAAAACAGGCUACUUUACAGCUCAAUUACCUGAGCUAUUGUUUAUGUAUUAUGUUUGUGUGUUAUGUUCAUUAAGAUGGUACGUACGACAUCUCAGAAGUAUUUCUUUCUUUCUUUUGCCACCAGGAGGAUGAUGUAUAACUAGUUCCUAGGUAGAUGUCCACUACAGAUAUACAUAUUGAUCAAAGGUAUCCCAUCCUCUGAACAUUUGGAUUAGGAUGCUAACAAAGAAAGACUCCCACACAUGUGCCCCUCAUACUUGUUUUGAAGGCUGAAAAAAUAACAUGCUGCCAAACAUAAUGGAGAAAAUACAUGGAAAGGAAAGGAAGUCAUAUCUUCUGACAUUUUAUACGUUCAGUUGAUUGGCAUAAUGAACUCACUGCUUGGAUCUCUUUGUAAGGAAUAAAUCACAUCCUGCUGUACUAUUUACAUGAAUGA